GUUUUUAGGACUGAAUUUAUUUUAAUUUCGCUUAAUUUCUUUAUCAGUAAUGUCUCAAUCAAUUCCAUGGGUGCCCAACACCCCCCCCCCCCCGGGCGUUUGUCGGGCUUUUGUCAUUUUGGCGAAAAAACGUUGCAAAUGCCCCAGCAUGGGGUCCAAAUAAUGCAACAAAAUCCCCACCCUUGGGGACUUACAUUGACGCAAAUGCCCCACCCUUGGGGGACAAAAUAUAAGUUUUCUGAGGAUUUCUGAUCCAAAAAAUCGAAUCCAAGCUCUAUCACGUAUCAAUAUAUCUGUAUUUAAAAUCGAUUCUAUAGCCAUUUCGUUUUAAAACGUUUUUAAUUAAAAUAUUGAAGUCUCAAAACUUUAUAUAGCAAUAUCAAACUGCAGAAGUAAGUCAAUGUAUCAACAGGAUGGACAAGAAAAAAGUCUUGUGUAUGUCCGCCAUGAUUAAUUUGCGAUACGCACGCUCGUGUAAACAUGCGUACUAAAGUACGGCUAAAUGGCGAAACAAGCGAUAAAUAUUCGACUUUUUAGCCUCGAGCAAAUUCCCCACCCCGGGGCUAACCUGCAGAAAGCAAAUGCCCGACCCUGGGAACAAGUACAGUUGAGAAUGCCCGACAAACGCCCGGGGGGGGGGGGGUGUUGGGCAACCAUGGAAUUGAUUGAGACAUUAUAUAAC